CUUUGGUUUUAUUUUGUUGGUUUUAAGAACCAAAGUAAUGAUAAAUAGGGCCAGUCGGGGGCAUUAGUAUUCUGAGGUCAGAGGUGAAAUUCUUGGAUUCUCAGAAGACUAACUACUGCGAAAGCAUUUGCCAAGAAUGUUUUCAUUGAUCAGGAACGAAAGUUAGGGGAUCAAAGACGAUCAGAUACCGUCGUAGUCUUAACCAUAAACUAUGCCGACUAGGGAUCGGUCAACGUCUUUUUUGACUUGAUCGGCACCUUAUGAGAAAUCAAAGUUUUUAGGUUCUGGGGGGAGUAUGGUCGCAAGGCUGAAACUUAAAGGAAUUGACGGAAGGGCACCACCAGGAGUGGAGCCUGCGGCUUAAUUUGACUCAACACGGGAAACUCACCA
rnacentral:rRNA from 1 species